AGUGAAUAGAUACCCAGGUAGUCCUAGCCGUAAACGAUACUCGCUAGGUGUCGGCCACGGUGCGACCGUUGUCGGUGCCGUAGGGAAAGCCGUGAAGCGAGCCACCUGGGAAGUACGGCCGCAAGGCUGAAACUUAAAGGAAUUGGCGGGGGAGCACCACAACGGGUGGAGCUUGCGGUUUAAAUUGGAUUCAACGCCGGAAAUCUUACCGGGACCGACAGCGAUAUGAAGGCCAGGCUGAAGACUUUGCCGGAUUAGCUGAGAGGUGGUGCAUGGCCGUCGUCAGUUCGUACUGUGAAGCAUCCUGUUAAGUCAGGCAACGAGCGAGACCCACGCCCACAGUUGCCAGCGUACUCUCCGGAGUGACGGGUACACUGUGGGGACCGCCGCUGCUAAAGCGGAGGAAGGAAUGGGCAACGGUAGGUCAGUAUGCCCCGAAUAUCCCGGGCUACACGCGAGCUACAAUGGUUGGUACAAUGGGUAUCUACCCCG
rnacentral:rRNA from 1 species